rnacentral:rRNA from 1 species
UACGAAGGGGGCAAGCGUUGUUCGGAAUUACUGGGCGUAAAGGGCGCGUAGGCGGCUUAUCAAGUCAGGCGUGAAAUUCCCGGGCUCAACCUGGGGGCUGCGCUUGAUACUGAUUGGCUUGAAUGCGGGAGAGGAUAGUGGAAUUCCCAGUGUAGAGGUGAAAUUCGUAGAUAUCGGGAGGAACACCGGUGGCGAAGGCGGCGACCUGGGUCGACACUGACGCUGAGGCGCGAAAGCGUGGGGAGCAAACAGG